rnacentral:tRNA from 1 species
GGAGAGGUGGGAGAGUCUGGUUUAAUCCACCAACUUGGAAAGUUGGCAUGCCAAUUGGCAUCGCAAGUUCGAAUCUUGUCCUCUCCGCCA